rnacentral:sRNA from 1 species
AACUCCUGCUUGUUACCGUUUCAUCCGACCGGAGUCAGAUGUCGUUUUGGUGUCUGAUUCGGUAAGGAACCGGGAGCACCAUCUGCGUAGGCUUGAGGUUUAAGACUUGCGCCGCCUACGGUCUUGGAUAGNCAAACAACGCCGCGCCAU